CACUUGGGCGGAUUGACGGUGGACGCCCGGGGCCGGUUGCGGGCAAAGGGGAGGGGCCUCCGGGUGCUGACCAGCCAAUUGAGGCCUCCCGGAAGUACUGCCGGGGCGCUUCUAAGAUGUGGGAACCGACAUCUGUGACUAGCCGGGGGCUAUCCAGCUAGCGACAGCAGGGGUCUGCAUGUCGGCAGCUUCCAGCCCCGCUGGGGUCUACUGCUGCAACCGUGCAAGAUGCUCAACAAAUCUGCCUGGAAAUAAAAGAAAUGAGGCAGAGAAAAUCUAAUGAUUAUUUAAAGGUGUGACUUCACAGACUAUCGGGUUCCACAGUAUCCUGGAGCUCAAGGCUGCUAAGUCUGAAGGAUUUCAAGAGAUAUACAGACUAUGGCAAAGAGGACAGGAGUGGAGACCCUCUUCUUUGUUCUCUUCCUGGACUGUUGGCAAGGCCUCUGUGGCUGGCUUCUUUCCUACCAGUCUCAGAUGAGAAAACCAAAUCCCACAGAACUUUACUGCCCAAGGUCACAAGGCACUCAAAAGGUGGACUAGAACCCAAGUCUGGUGCUCUUUCUCCUAAAACAGGCUCAAAUACUGAAUUUUCAUCAAGUUCAAAAAAUUUGGAUGAAGGUUUGGCUAAACUAUUUGAUGAAAUUCAACUGCAAGUGUUUUCCAAAGUUCCGUUUGAUGAUACAAGAACAGCAGGCAAGUCAAUUACAAAGAGAGAAGUUAAGGAAAGCAAGUAUAUGCCUUUAAAAUUAUAAG